GGAAUAAAUCACAUAGUAUUUCCCACAACAAAAGAGAAAACAAUCUAAACCGCGCCUUACUCAGGAGAUGAAGUCGAAAACCUUCUAGCUCUAAACCCUAAACCCUAAACCCUGUAGAAUUUAGAUCCAAGCGAUACACUGCGGUUUUCACUGAAGAACAAUCCACCCAGUCAACUACGAUUGUAUGAUACAAGUACUACCCGAUUCACGCUCGCAAAGCACAUAUAAGUACACACGAUGACGGUGCAGUAAGUAAUAAGUAAUUAAUCUACUGAACUGGGCGUGCUUGCUGGUCCUUGUUGAUGAUGGAUCCGUGGUGCAAGCAGCUCCUGCAGCUCCUUGACCUCCUGCCGGAGGCUCCUGAUAUCCUCCUGGCGGGCCUCGUCGGCGGCGCGGAGCCUCUCGCCAACCUCCCCACCUACGGUGUGGCAGACCCUCUUGCAGUCGGCGAUGAUCUUCUCGCGGAGCAGCAGAUAGCCGCCCAUCCAGAGCACCCAGGUUCCCUGCACCCAUCAACGCACGCACGCAUCCAUGUAUGUUAGCCUCCUUAUAUACAGUAGGGAUCGAUGGAUCGGUUUUGUACGUAUAAGCGAACCUACCUCCAUGGUCUCGGCGGACGUACGGGAGCUAGCUUGUUAGGGCUUGCGAAGCUUGGAUCAAUGGAGAGAUGGUUGAAUUGACGUACGUACCUACGUGUUGGGGGCUUGGAAUUACGGACGGUGCGAUUCAGGCAUCCAAAGUCGUGACCGAUUGAACAUAUAUAUGGUGCGUGCAUCGUCGAUCGAUUUUCACCGGCUGUCUUGGAGAAGAAGACUGACUUGGAGAAGAAGAC
rnacentral:lncRNA from 1 species